CAGCACUAGUGUACAAGAAACCUCUAUAACAACAGAGACUUCCACAAUCACGACUCCUGCUAAAACAUCCACCACUAGGGCAGCAGAAACAUCCACAACAACAGAGACUUCCACAAUCACGACAACUGCACCAGAAACAUCCACCACUAGUGCAGAAGAAACAGCUAGAACAACAGAGACUUCUACAACAACACAUCCUUCAACAGUGACAUCAACUCCUGCUGGAACCACUACUGCAGUACCUUCCACAACAGCACCACAAACAACAUCUACAACAGAACCUGUUGUGAUUCCCACUUCAACCACUACUGAAAGCACCACUGUCAGUUCAGCAACAACAUCCACAAUACCAACAGCUACAACAACACAUCCUUCAACAGUGACAUCAACUCCUGCUGGAACUACUACUGCAGGAGCUUCCACAACAGCACCACAAACAACAUCUACAACAGAACCUGUUGUGAUUCCCACUUCAACCACUACUGAAAGCACCACUCUCAGUUCAGCAACAACAUCCACAACACCAACAGCUACAACAACACAUCCUUCAACAGUGACAUCAACUCCUGCUGGAACUACUACUGCAGGACUUUCCACAACAGCACCACAAACAACAUCUACCGCAGAACCUGUUGUGAUUCCCACUUCAACCACUACUGAAAGCACCACUGUCAGUACAGCAACAACACCAACAGCUACAACAACAGGGCCCUCAGCUACCACAACAACUGCUGCUGGAACAUCCACCACCAGUGAAGCAGUUAUCACAACAGUGCCACAAACAACAAUUACUAGUGGAGCAGUUACCAUGACAGCACCACCGACAUUUAUGUCAUUCUCUCCAUCUUUAAAUGUCUCUGAGAGCACAACUGUUAGUACCAUUCAAACAUCUGCAACAACAACAACAACAACAGGAUUCUCUGCACUAAAAACAGAAACUUCUGUUUUUACUUCAGCAACUCCCUCUUCAACUCCCUUAAACACUACAAAUGGUAGCACAGCUGGAACAUCAACACAUUCAUUUGCCUCGACCACUAAUAAAACCACUGUCUCAACCACUAAUGCAACAACAAGAUUCUUGACAUCUACAACUCAAGUGCCUGCGACUACAACUACAAAAUCUGCACCCGUGUAUCUAACAGUUCUGGUGUUCCGCUCUUUAGACAACUUUACAGUUGAAUUCAGUGAUCCAACCUCUCAGGCCUUCAAGAAAAGGGCUCAGCUUGUCAUAUCUCAGCUUGAAACAAUCUACAGAGCAAAAUAUCCUUCCUUUAUUGAAGUGAUUGUCUUGCUUUUCAGACAAGGGUCAGUAAUCACAGAAACACAGCUAGCUUUCAACUCCACACAACCUGUUCCAACUGUUCAAGAGAUUUCAGACACCCUCUUUACAGCAGUGAUAACAGGAGGUGUCGAUCCACUGAACAUAACUCCUUAUUCGAUUUCAGUCAAUGGUUCGAUUAUUAACGUGACUACUUCAACUACAGCAUCAACAACAACAACAACAACAACAGCAAUGACAACAAUAACAACACCGACAACAACAACAACAACAACAAGACCCUUGACAUCUACAAGACCCUUGACAUCUACAACUAAAGUGCCUGCAACUACAACUACACAAUCUGUACCCGUGUAUCUAACAGUUCUUGUGUACCGUUCUUUUGACAUAUUUAUAAUUGAACUCAGUAAUCAAAGCUCUCAGGCCUUCAAAUCAAGAUCUGAGGUUGUCAGAUCUCAGCUUGAACCAAUCUACAGAGCAAAAUAUCCUUCCUUUAUCAGAGUGAUUGUCAUACGUUUCCGUCCUGGGUCAAUCAUCACAGAAACCCAACUAGUUUUUAACUCCACACAACCAGUUCCAACCGUUCAAGAGAUUUCAGACUCCCUCCUGACAGCAGUGGUAACAGGAGGUGUCGAUCCACUUAACAUAAUCCCUUCAACAGUUUCAGUCAAUGGUUCAGGUAAGUUUGAUUGCAUUUCAAAACCUAUCUUGCUACAUAUUCUGAAAGUCUUACAACAACUGUAGCUAGCACUUUGGCUCAAUAGAUCUUGUGGAAUUUCUAACCUUCUAUAUAUAGCACUAGUCACUAGGUGAUUAUAUGGAUAUACGAAUAACACAACAUAUACGGUACAUUUGGACUUUAAUGAAGCAAAAAAAGAGACACUUUGUUGAUCUAUUUCAUGCAUCUUUUUCUCACAGCUAUAGCUACGACUGUAGCUGCAACUACAACUACAACUACAACUGCAGCUGCAACUACAGCUUCAAGUGGAUUGAAGAUUGAAUCCAGCCUGCUCCAAGCAACAUGGCUCAUUAUUAUGGCAAAAAUAUUACAUCUUUUCCUAUAGAUCCCUUAACAAUGAAUAUGAGUUGCGAGAAAUGAAAGGCAUGUGCAAGGCACAAAUUAUAUUAGCAAAUUAUAUUAUUUUUGUAUGUGUAUUAUUUGUUAUUUAGUAUUGUAGCACACUCUCGAAAUAUGGCAAUGGCAAUAUAAACAUAAGCCUAAAAUUGCAUUGAUUCUCAGGGCACAAUUUGUAAUUAGAAAAAAUUAUAUAUAUUUUUUUAUUUAUCAGCAGGUUGUUGUAAUCAAUCAAAUAAGGACAAUUCCUAUUUCCUCAGUAUUUUAAAUGUAAUGCUUUUGUUCACCUGUCUGCAGGUUAAAGACUAUUUAUACAGUAAUUCUCUUUUGUCUAGUAUGUGCUAACAUUGCAAGACCUUAUUCUAUCUUAUUAUAAUCAAAUAAACAUAUUUAUUAAGUUCAUGUGGUCCAAAAUUGUAUGAUUGUUAGUAUUUACAUUUAUUUAAAAUGUACAAGGGUUUUAUAUUAAAUGAAUUAAAUAAAGUCUUAAUGCAACUUUAACUUGCAUAAUUCUUUCAUU
ensembl:lncRNA putative GPI-anchored protein PB15E9.01c